rnacentral:rRNA from 1 species
AGCUUCCUAGGUAGGCAGCAGUGGGGGAUAUUGCACAAUGGGGGAAACCCUGAUGCAGCAACGCCGCGUGAGUGAAGAAGUAUUUCGGUAUGCAAAGCUCUAUCAGCAGGGAAGAGAAUGACGGUACCUGACUAAGAAGCCCCGGCUAACUACGUGCCAGCAGCCGCGGUAAUACGUAGGGGGCGAGCGUUAUCCGGAUUUACUGGGUGUAAAGGGAGCGUAGACGGCUGGUCAAGUCUGAAGUGAAAGCCCGGGGCUUAACCCCGGAACGGCGUUGGAAACUGAGCAGCUAGAGUGCUGGAGCG